CAGUGGGGUCCAUUAGACCCCAGUGAGGUCCAUUAGACCCCAGUGGGGUCCAUUAGACCACAGUGGGGUCCAUUAGACCCCAGUGGGGGCCAUUAGACCCCAGUGGGGUCCAUUAGACCCCAGUGCACAGUGGAAACAAAUCAGACAUUUUCUUAUCCUAGGUAAUUUACAUGUAUUACUAUGUAUGAUAAUUUGUGUAACUGCACCUGGAGUUUACCUAAAUAAACUUGCACUUGUGCAACAUUUAGGAAUCUUUACUGAGGAAAUAAGUGGAACAACCUCCCGAGUACUGUUAUUGAAGCUAAAACAUUGUGUAGUUUUAAAAAUAGGUUAGAUAAAUACAUGAGUGGGUGUGAGUUGGACCUGACUAGCUUGGGUCAGUGGCUUAGGCCGGUAGGUGAUUUGGACCUCCUUCAUAUGGGCAGUAAGCCUGCUGCAGUGUUCCUUCUUAUGUUUCACCUGCCAGUGGCUACUGGGUUCCAGCAUAAAAUUUUCCAGAUGUUGCACAACUGUGUCAUUCUUCAACUUGUUAGUUUUCUAAACCAUUUACAUCAUUGUUAAUUUUGUAGGAUAAUCCUACAAAGCACUCAAAAGCACUAACUUAAUAUAUCUUAACCUAAAUUAUGUUAAUGUAUGUUUUAAGUCACUGAAGCUGCCACUGAGCUAUGGUGUUCCGUAUCUUGAUUGGUAGCAUACCGAGGUCUGUGGUUCAAUCCCCAGUAUGGGUGGAAACACUACCACAUGUUUCCUUAAGACACCUGCUGACCCUGUUUACCUAGCAGUAAAGUAGGUACCUGGAUAUUAGUUACCUGAUGGUAAUUUGAUAACUCAUACUUUACCUGUCAUCAUAUAGACUAGAUAAGUCGUGUUUAAGGCACAACAUGUUAAUAUAAAGGCGUGCUUUGCUUCAUGUGUUUCACAUUCUCAGCCUAAAAUUUUUUAAACAUUUACAGCUGGGCUUUAAAUAAUAAGAUAUUAAAAGGACUCCAGUGGAAAUAAGUCACUGUCUGACUUUUGGCUUGUGUGUACUAAUUAAUAUACACAUGUUGCUAUGUACGAUGAUUGCGUUUGUGCACCUGUACCUAAAUACUUACUGAGAUAUGAAAGACGGAAUUGAUGUGCCGAACAUCACUAUAAUAAAUGCUUAUGUUAUUAAAUGUGCUGAAUAUUUGAUAUCCUUGCUAAUGCAUCAUAGUUAAUGGUCUCAGAGUAGGUAUGUGUAGACAAAAUUUUUCGCAUAAAAUGGAUUUUAAAAUUAUUGUAUGUAAGUACAGUGCAUUAUUAUUAUAAUCAAAAGGAAGCGCCAAACCUUAUGUACAGUACAGUACAUUUGUAUAAUGAUUUGGAGUAGUUAUUAACUUCACUGAUGGUGGUGGUGCUGCUGCUGCUGUGGGGAAGGACUAAAGGAACUAAAGCCCCACAUAAUAAUACAAGUACAUGUACAGGGUAUACAGGCCUAGCUGACAUCAGUGACAUGCUACUAUAUAGAAAGCCCCUUGUUAUGCAGAGUGUUUCAGGCAGACUAGGUCAUGUUUCCACCUGUACUGGGGAUUGACCCUCGGACCUCAGUGUGAGAGCUGAGUGCACUAGCAAUCAAGCUAUGGGAUAUGUACAAAUACUUCCUGGCCCAGUGGCUAACUUGUAGGUCUGGAGCUUUAUGAUUCUCUGACCGCUGGUUCUAUUCCCGCCUGUGAUAUGGUUUGUUUGCCAUCGUGUCAUUACAAUUUUGUGAGUAACUUCCUGCAUUUUUCCAAUUAAUGGUUUAUUUUAACUUGUAUUGCCCAGUAACCAUGAAAGCAUGAAUUUAAUAAAUUUUGCAGUGAUUUUUUAAAUUUCUUAGAAAUUUUCUGCAUGUGAUUUUUAAGCCCAUCCCAGAUUGAAAUCAUGGCUCAAGUCUUCACCCUUUCCUCCUUCCCAUCAGGUUAAAUUCUGGUUGCUCCGCUAAUACGUGUGUAUUAGGCAAGUAAAAUACUACUUGGGUUAUCCUAGGUAAUUUAUUGUGCAUGAUAAUUGUACUUGUGUGUACUACUACCUAAAUAAACUUACACCACUCCAGCAGACUUUCUUCAACCUGUUCAACAUGUUGCCUAAAUUACUUGAACUGCUGCUAUUGCAUUAUACAUGGGGAAGCACUAAACCCAUAGGGGUCAUACAGUGCCUUUAGAAUGGGAGGAAAAUCAGGUUUGAUCCAGGGAAGAAUGGGUAACUCCACUUCCUUUGAUCAAGAGCCCUUCACGAGCAAAAAGACACCAUGUUUUCUUGUUUCAUUUCACACAUUGCUGUUAAUAUUUUGAAAAUAUUCGUGCUUAUUAUUCCCAUAAAAAUUUGACGGGCGUAUGUAUUUUUCUUUCAGAAUCUCCCCUUCCAAAUCGAGAACAGAAUUCGCUUCACUGCAACAUACGUGUUAUUCUUUGGCUCCGGUUUGGCCUUGCCGUUCAUUCUUGUUCGUCAUCAGUUACUCAAGAAGUGAACACUGAUGGUUCUAUAUAUAUUGUACAGUACAUGGCUUAUUUAAGAUAAUGGCAGGGUGUUCUGUUAGAAAAUCAAAGGUAAAGUGUUGAUGUAAAUGUUUAAAUAAAAGGAAAGACCAUAUUA